rnacentral:sRNA from 1 species
ACUUUAGAAACCACAAUGAAAUCAGGGGAGAGCGCGAACGCAGUCCCCCACUACCACAAAUUAUGCAGUCGAGUUUCCCGCAUUUGGGGAAAUCGCAGGGGUCAGCACAUCCGGAGUGCAAUGGAUAAGCCUCGCCCUGGGAAAACCACCUUCGUGAUCAUGGUAUCUCCCCUGCCAGGUAAGUAUGAGUUGCUCGCCCAGCCAGCACGCCCUCCACCCACACGCACUCCUAUUAAACGCACGGUUCCCGCCUCCGCGCCACGGCCUCGGUCUCACGCCCCCCCACUCCUCUGCCGAGAUGCUUCCGCCUCACGGAAAUCACACGCCUGUCACGCGGUACACUCCACCCGAGACACGGCCCUUAAGGCUCUGCCGGACCGGCAGCCACUGCGCACGGCUUCAUCUGCGUACGCCCCGCCCACAGGCGGGUUUUUUUUUUUUCCUUUUUCUUUUUUUUUUCUUUCCCCCCCCUUUUUUCUUCCCCUGGCCUGCAGGAGACCGCGACGGUCACACAGUGGCCUGGAGCACACUAUACCAUAGUCCAUCAUUGGAGGGAGUCGGGACAGGAACUCAAGCAGGGCUUGAGAUAGGAGCUGACGCAGAGCCCAUGAAGGAGUACUGCUUACUGGCUUGAUUUCUUACGGAACCCAGGACCACCAGCCCAGGGAUGGCUCGCUGAUUGAUCACUAAUUGAGAAAAUGCCUUACAGCCGGAUCUCAUGGAGGCAUUUCCUCAACUGAGCUGAAACAGCUUCGGCCACGCACAUGAUACAGCUCUGACCAGUUAAGACACCAGUCAGUCCCGGGGGAGAGCAUCUGCCAGGAAACGAACAUCAAAGCCGCUGUUCCAAGUUUUCUGCCUCCCAACUGCUCUACUUGGAAAUCGGGCUGAGGCCUUGGAGAAGCAGGUGUUCGCCUCCGGGUCUCCGGGGCCUGGCCUUAAGCGCGCAGCGGCAGUCCUCGCGUCUGCUCUCUGUUUAGCCACGCGGCCUACCUAAGGCCAACAGGUUAGUAUAUGCAGCUGCUAUUAACUACCCCGGCCCCAGGAGGCACGCUCACAAUGAAUCGGGGGCCUGCCGAGUCGGCCUAGGGGGGUAGACACGCUUGCCCCACGGCUGACAGCUGGUGGUUGAUCCCCACAAUCCGUGUGGUGGAAGGAGCUGGACUCCCACAAGCCCUCUGACCUUCACCCGGGUCCCCACCCUCACAUACUACACAGACUAACCCAAAAAGAGAACUUAAGGCUUGGAGAGAUGUUUCCGUGACGGAGCACACUGGCCGUUCUUCCCCAGGACCCGGGGGUCGUGUCCCAGCACCCACACUGAAGCUCCGGUGCCUGGGGAGCCUAUGUUCUCUUCUGCCCCACCUUCCCGGCUUUCUGGUCUUCUCCAGCCUGGCACACGUGGGGCACACAGACACAUGGGCAGGAGAAGGCACUCCUACAUGGUAAAUAAAAAUAAGCAAAAAUCCCAUAAAAGUUUUCCGGAUACUCACUUCUUUCCCCUCCAAGAGAGACCAUGCUGAUAAAAACAAAAUAACCCACGGGUAACAGAACCGCCGUAUGCCUUGUCCUUCUAUCUCUCGGCGUUUACACAGCACCUUCACAUUUCCGAAGCAUGGCACCAACAUUUAUUAACCCUCACAACAUCCCUGUGAGGUAGGUCAACAUGUCCUUUAUAGCAGAGAAUGGAGCUACAAGGCUAGAGGAUCUCGCCCAUACCGGAUUGAGGAGGCUUCAAGAGCAGCUGGUGAGGGCCGGACCGAAUCCAGAAGGGCGGGCCCUUGGUCCUGCGCUCACCCACGCAGGUGUAUUUCUAUACAUACCGCGUGGGUGUAUUUCUACCAAUGAAGGUCACAUACAGGAAGGAAUGAAGGACCAACACGGUGUCCAGGCUGACAAUAGGAAAACGGAGGUUCGGAUGGCUCGGGGAAACAUGUCAAUCACGAGAGCAAGCACGCUAGCCAGCACAGGGAGGCCGAGAGAAGAUGUGCACUGAGAGAGACUGGGUCUGGGUCUUGGCCUGCAAGGUGGACCCUGACCCCGGAAUCUUCAGGACGGUUUAGAGAAAUGUAAACAAACUAGGAACCCGUUCCAGUGGUGAACGGCCCAAGUCCCCGUGAUUUCCUGCCAACAGCCAGCUUUGGCAUCUGUGGGUUGGGUGAACUGAGGAUGGCAGCCCAUAGGGGUCAGUGCUUUGAGCAAGGAGUCCGUC